rnacentral:rRNA from 1 species
AGUGAACGCUGGCGGUAGGCCUAACACAUGCAAGUCGAACGGCAGCACAGUAAUAGCUUCCUCUUACGGCUGCCGAGUGGCGGGCGGGGGCUAAAUACCUCGGAAUCUGCUUUUUCGUGGGUGAUAACGUGGGGACACUUACGCUAAUACCGCAUACGACCUACGGGUGAAAGCAUCGGAUCUUCGGACCUUGCGCGAUCCAAUGUCGCGAUGUCGGAUUAGCUAGUUGGAGGGGUAAAGGCCCACCAAGGCGACGAUCCGUAGCUGGUCUGAGAGGAUGAUCAGCCACACUGGAACUGAGACACGGUCCAGACUCCUACGGGAGGCAGCAGUGGGGAAUAUUGGACAAUGGGCGCAAGCCUGAUCCAGCCAUGCCGCGUGUGUGAAGAAGGUCUUCGGAUUGUAAAGCACUUUUGUUGGGAAAGAAAAGCAGCAGGUUAAUACCUCGCUGUUCUGACGGUACCAAAAGAAUAAGCACCGGCUAACUUCGUG